rnacentral:rRNA from 1 species
AUUGAACGCUGGCGGCAUGCCUUACACAUGCAAGUCGAACGGCAGCACGGGUGCUUGCCCCUGGUGGCGAGUGGCGAACGGGUGAGUAAUACAUCGGAACAUGUCCUGUAGUGGGGGAUAGCCCGGCGAAAGCCGGAUUAAUACCGCAUACGAUCUACGGAUGAAAGCGGGGGACCUUCGGGCCUCGCGCUAUAGGGUUGGCCGAUGGCUGAUUAGCUAGUUGGUGGGGUAAAGGCCUACCAAGGCGACGAUCAGUAGCUGGUCUGAGAGGACGACCAGCCACACUGGGACUGAGACACGGCCCAGACUCCUACGGGAGGCAGCAGUGGGGAAUUUUGGACAAUGGGCGAAAGCCUGAUCCAGCAAUGCCGCGUGGGUGAAGAAGGCCUUCGGGUUGUAAAGCACUUUUGUCCGGAAAGAAAUCCUUGGCCCUAAUACGGUCGGGGGAUGACGGUACCGGAAGAAUAAGCACCGGCUAACUACGU